AAAAUGAAGUGGCCUGACGAACCCAAAGCAACAACGGAGCCAAAAAAACCACUGCCGAGUGCUCUUUCUAGCUUACAGUCUGUUCCUUUCUUCCUUUUCUGCGUCAUCUUCUCUAUUUCUUCUCAUUCUUUCCCUUCUCUUUUUAGAAUGUAGCACUGAAUCGACUUCGAUUCUACUUUUCAAUGUCCAUUGUUGGAUGAAAUUUAGUUAAUUUGCUCUUUCAUUUGACAUUUUUUUUAAUCCCCCUCAGUAGAACGUCCAGCCCCGAGGUCACCAUCACUCUGGGCGGCACUGUUCAGUUGCCCUUUUCUCUCUCACAAUGACAGAGAUUGAAAUUGGGAAUUUUUCUUUUAUUGGAUUACCCAUUUCGUUAGUUGUAUAAUUGACUAAACCUUUUUCUUUUUCAUGAAUUUAUGAUUUUUCAAUGGUUUGCAGGCGGUGACAAAGGGAGGUAAGAGGCCUAGAGGAGAGGGAUUUGGGAGCAGUGGUGCUUAAACCAUUCAAGAAAAUUCUAUAUUACUUUUUUUCUGAUUGUUCCCAUUCGAAAUAAUACAUGGGAAUGUAUACACUUAAGCUUUUAAGCUUUUGGGUAGCCCAAGAGUAGUUAGAUAGUUGGUAUAUAAAUCAGCUUGGCGUUAGGUAUGUGAGAUCUUUUCUUCACAUGCCCUUCACCAUGUUUUCCCCCAACAUAAGGUGUGUUUCUUUGCUUCUAUGCAAUUUCUUUUGUUGAGUUUGAUAUUUGUUUAGGGUGUUUUCAGACUAUGUUUGGGAAAUUAGUGAUUGGUAUUUUCAUUAUGUUUCUUGUUUAAGUUGAAUUCUUAAACAUUUAAAUAUUUUGUGGAUUAUGUAAUUGUGUAUCAAGAAACAAAAAGCAGGGGAAAAGAGGAGAUGGUUUUAUUCUUUUCUUGGUUGAUGCGAAAUUGAGUAAAAGGGGGAUAUAACUUUGAAUCUUAUUCUUUUUCCUCUCUCUCUCUCUCUCUCUCUCUCUCUCUCUCUCUCUCUCUCUUUUUAUUUAUUUAUUUUUAUAAUUCUUGAGCCUGGUAGUUGUACUUUUAGCUAGAUUCCUUAUAUCUUAAAAUAGUUGCUAAACUUUUCGUUUUGGCAUUCUGUGAAUUCAUCGUUUGUGAUGUUUCGGUGGCAUAAUGUGUUGUUUUGAGCAGUAUUUGUAUUUGGUUGAAUGAUACUUUCCAGGAAUAAAGGAGAUAGCUUGAUGCAAAGUCUUGUCCUUAAUGGAGUUAAUGGUGACAUAUUAUGUUCUACAUAUUUUGGAUUCCUUUUAUGUAUCAUUUUGUUCACUAACACUGGUGCAUGGACAUAAGUGCAGUAUCCCAAAUUGCCCUAAAUGAUAUUUGAUUGACGCUGAUACACAGAGGGUUAUCUAAGAAAAUUCAGAAGGGCAAGGGAAAGUAGACUCACACAGAAAGGUUGUGAAAGUCAUUCACCCUCCAAUUCCUUUGAGUUCUUACCUGCUGCCACAUGGGCCUGCACACGGUGGAAGCAAAGUUUCAAGGAAAAUUCUUCCUAAAGAAAUUGCAGAUUAUAUGCGUAAGGUGGACUCAUUGGGGAAAUUUGAAUAAUAUCAGCCUAUUGGAGGAUCAAGGGUUAGAUCCCCAGAUUAAAUUUUAAAAAGUUAUAGCAGGCUAUCACCGCCUAGAACCACCUAGAAAUUUUGACGAAAUUCAGAAUGUAACACCCACGAGGAUAGCUGAUCUUUUAAGAGGUGAACAGCCUUUUAGUGAUGAGAUUAUUGAUGCUUCUAGAAGGAGAGACACUCCACCUGUAAUAAUGAAAGCUACCUCUCAAGCUGGCAAUCUAGUAACAAAGGUGGCACCAGCAAGUGGCAUCAUGCAAACAGUAUCACAUAUGGUAGACAUGACCAUGUUGAGGCAGAUGGAAGACAAAGACCCUAAAGAAAUGGGAAUACCAAUGGAAGUCAUCAUGAAACUUUGUGAUUGCUAUGCUUGGCAAUAGUGUGCAUGACCUGAAAGUAGAUACUGUUUGUGAUUGUUGGUGGGUUGAACAGGAUGAGAUGAUCAAGUCAAAUGUAUUGUUGUUAGGGAUUGGAGAUCCUUCAAUUGUAGUGCAUUUCAAUGAUGAUAAAUUUAUGUUGGCAUUUGAAGUUUCUAUCCUCCGGGUCUGAAAAGUAUUAGAGUUUUAUUUUGUGGAAAAGCAGAUUUCACAAAAACUUAGAAGUCUUAUUCAAUUCCAAAUAAUCCAAUUAACUUGAACAGAAUUACAGAAUGGGGACACCAGCAUUGAUGUUCUUGGAAGCAAGCACUGUUUACGUCACAUCAAAUCAUGCCAUAACAAUGCUUGUGUUCAUAAGACAUUCGCAUGGGUAUUGUUGUCAGCCUCAAAAUGCUUUGACAGAUAAGGUAUUAUUAUUGGGUUUUGAUGAAGGCUGAUCUUUUGCACAAUCUUUCCCCGUCCUAGAAGCCAAAGCACCCAGAAACUUGUUAUUAAACCACCCACCACUAGCAGCAGUAGCCGCGGCAGACGAAGCCUUAUUACAAGAAUGGUCAGCUGGAAAACGAUGCUUCAAACAAACCUUCAAUUGGCAAGUUUUGCAAAUGCAUGUAUUAGAGAAGGUCAAAAUCUCCUUGCAGCGCCUAACGGCACAGGUAGGUUUCUUCUUCUUUUGGGGGUCGCAGUUUCCAAACUUGACGUGUUUCUCCAAUAUCAACUUCUCAUCAUCUUCAUGGCAUCCGGUGGUCUCAAUGGACGUGGAGCAAAUAUCACAAACCACCACUUUUCUGCUAUUAUGAUCUGAUUUAGGACAAUCAUGGGACUUGUAGGAUCUAUGCUCUAGACAAAACACCUGAUGGUCCAAUAAAAGAUUGAUUUAUAUAAGAUUUAAAAAAAAAAAAAAAAACCAAUUAUGUUAAUGAUGCAUGGGAUGAAAUGGGAUGAUCAAUAUAUGUUUGUUACCUUAUGACAACCUUGGCAUUUGAAAGGCAGGAAAUCAAGUUGAUUGCAAUCUGAAUGUUGACAAUGUCUACCCAGAUCAGGAAAAGCUUCAGUUCCUCCUGCAGCCAUCUUGUCUUGGAUUGGAAUAAUGUUUGACGAUCUUUUCUUGAAUUGGAAUAAUGUUUUCAGGAAAGCAAUGAAGACGAAGACGAUGGAUUUAUUGAUAUUUAUAUGUUUCUGGAGCUGGCUUGGAGCCUAAUCCAAGACCAGCAGCCUGACUUCCGCGUUAAGUUUUUGUUUGUUACCUAUGCAGGGCAGAUCUUUCUUUUAAUGGAUUCUUCUGGGGCUCACGGUCGGUUGCGCGUAGACGGUGCCUUUCUUUGACUUCUGACGUAUGCGCACAUACAUGUCCCACCCCAUCGAUUCACUAAUGAGGCCCUGCCACGUCACUCGUUAUUAUUAUCUUUUUCUAUAAUUGAAUUCCAUUGAAAUUCUUUUAAUUGUGAAAUAGGCCACAUCAUCUUUAAUAAAUGCGUAAUUUUUAGAUA